UUACGGUUAGCAGCAUGCCAUUUAUUUCUCAUUUUCGUUAUAGCUGCAUAUUUGGAGUCCACUCGACUAUGCUACACUGGGUGAAAUACACCGGAUAGAUCUUUACUCACAUUAGUGUGUAUAAAUCAACGGUAAAAAAUCACCUGAUGUAACAUUCACCGGGCGUAGCAUAGAAAUAACCGAGUCCACACCUAUCAAAACUAUAACCACAGUUUGGACCGGAAUGGCGGUAUAACUUAGAACGGCGUAAAGCAUAGAUAGUGUAACAUGAUCAGGUAUCGUCUGCACAAACUCAUCGAGGAGAGAGCAAAUCAGACGGAACUCAACAACAAUAAACAAGCCUCUCGUAUAAAACACCCCAGUCUCUAAAGGAUCUGGCUCAGGGGAUGAAACGCCGAACAGCUGCAACGGAGGAGAUCGGACGCCGGCAGGAGAUGGGGAACGACGGGGCGGAGGCGUUGCCUCACGGCCGCGGCCAGAUCGAGGCGGAGAGAGAGGGUUUACGUUGUCACGGAGGCCGCGUCCAGAUCCACGGGGAUUGAUCGACGGAGGUGUGAAAUCACGGCGUUCGCGGCCAGAUCGAGGGGCGGAGAGGGGGAACGGCGGGACGGAUGUGUGAAAUCACGGCAGAUUUGUUAAUACAUUUAAAAAUCAAGCCUGAUUGGACUCGUUGGUGAGAUCCUUGGCAGAUUUGAGAAGAAAGGUUUCACUUUGAAAGAUUUGACACCACUCCGCCCCGACUCCGCCCCGUCGCUUCCCCUCUCCGCCCCAUCGAUCUGGCCGCGAACGCCGUGAUUUCACACCUCCGCCCCGCCGUUCCCCCUCUCCGGUCCCUCGAUCUGGCGUUCGAACGCCGUGACUUCACCCCUCCGCCGAUCAAUCCCCGUGGAUCUGGACGCGGCCUCCGUGACGACGUAAACCCUCUCUCUCCGCCUCGAUCUGGCCGCGGCUGACGUGACCCAACGCCUCCGUCCCGUCGUUCCCCAUCUCCUGCCGGCGUCCGAUCUCCUCCGUUGCAGCUGUUCGGCGAUUCAUCCCCUGAGCCAGAUCCUUUAGAGACUGGGGCAUUUUAUACGAGAGGCUUGUUCAUUGCUGUUGAGUUCCGUCUAAUUGGCUCUCUCCUCGAUGAGUUUGUGCAGACGAUACCCGAUCAUGUUACACUAUCUAUGGUUCACGCCGUUCUGAGUUAUACCGCCAUUCCAGUCCAGACUGUGGAUCAUAUCAGAGUUGUUGAAAUCAUUAAACGAGAGUGCGGCUAUAGCGGACAGGGAAUAUCUAUGUCUUUCCAUGGUAUAAUAUUACCUAGGAUGUACUGCGGAACAACCUAGGUUCUUUUCUUUCUCAUAACUAAGCAAGAAAAGCAGCCACCAUCUAAUGCACCAAGAAUAGGGCAUCGGAGGAAGAUUUUGAUCUUCAUUUUGCUGCCAAACUUUGUUUGAUGAUGCCAAUUUUGUUGGAUAUACAUUCAAGAAAUGUGAUCUCCGGAAAUCAGCAGGUUAGCCCAAGCUGAUCAUGCAGGCAUCGAUUUGGGGUUCGAUAAUUUGGGGUUGAGUAAGGGAUUUUGGGUUAGGUUCGGAGCUCGACGGUCUGUUCGAGGCUAUAGGGUCCGACGGGGUUUCGGUGGUGGCUGGACUCCGAAGUGUUGGAGGCACGGGCAUGGGUCUUAGACGUGGACUGAGCCGUUCGCCUUUCUGUUUUUCCUACCUUUCUUUAUUUUCUUGUAAUUUUGAUUAGUAGAUCAUUUUGUUAUCCCUAAUCCCAUUGGCCAUAGGUUUUAAUUUCUAUAUUAUUUAUUUGAUUUAUGGCCUCUAAAAUUAAUGUUAUUUCAACGGCGACCCAACAGUGGUGCCCGAGCAUCGUCAAGUUGGGUGGUGCUCGUUCAAAUAGGGCGUACGGAAUUCGAACCGGAAUUUCGCCAAGAUAUUGUUCUCUAGACCCCACUAUGGUUGGGAUUGAAUUUACUGCUGUGUUUAUUGAUUCUGCUGCGGAUUGAAACUACCUUGGUUUAUUCUGUGAUCUGUGGUUUAAUUUCCGCUGCAUAAAUAUCAUCUCGGGGCUGGUAUCACUCAGAUUCCCUACUCCAUACCUCCUCGACCGGACCACUAGUGCCCUGGGAUCCUCUGAGGGGGGUUUCCGAGACUGCCCGUCUUCCAAACGUGUUUAAACUUGCAUUAUGUUGAAUAUUUGACCUACCUUGAAAAAUUUGUGGAUCUUUAUUGUGUGUUAGAAU